UUUCUUUUGCUGGCGACCGGCGCACGGGUGAGUAACACGUAUCCAACCUGCCCUUUACUCGGGGAUAGCCUUUCGAAAGAAAGAUUAAUACCCGAUAGCAUAAUGAUUCCGCAUGGUUUCAUUAUUAAAGGAUUCCGGUAAAGGAUGGGGAUGCGUUCCAUUAGGUUGUUGGUGAGGUAACGGCUCACCAAGCCUUCGAUGGAUAGGGGUUCUGAGAGGAAGGUCCCCCAUAUUGGAACUGAGACACGGUCCAA
rnacentral:rRNA from 1 species